ensembl:lncRNA
AAUCAGGAAUGGAGGACUAGGUAGUAGGACUGGGAGUGGAGAUUGAUGUUGAGCCUGGAACUGGACCUGAGUGAGAUGUGGGGACUGACCUCGGGGCAGGGUUUGAGGCAAGGGUAGAGCUUGGGUAUUAGGCAAGGACAGAGGUUGGGGAGAGGGAAGUACUGGAAAUUUAUGGAAUAUAGAUGUAUUUGUAAUGCCAUUGAAGAAUACAAACAUGGAGGAACGGCCACGUUGGACAAGAACAGUAGGAUGCAGAGACUCGCUGUGCAGAGAUGGGAGACCCCAGAAGAGCUGCACAUAUUUCUGCUCUAAAUGGUCUUCAAAGCACUUAGAGUAUGGGGGCUGCUGAUGGAUGUGCUGCCCCUCUAGUUUGCCUUUAUUGGCCCCAAAAGGAAAGAAUUCUACCAUGUCAUGCUUAUCAGCAAUUGAGGCUAACAUUUUCCGUGAAGAAUUUAGUUGGUAGUUUUGUCUAAGUUGUGUUGGGAAAGAUCCUGGUUUCUUUCCAUUUUCUUUCCACAUCAGGAAAUCACACCUUUUUUUGACUUCUCUCUCCAGGAGUGCCAGAAUGUCAUGGCUGACAAAAGAGAUGUUAACAGGCUGUAUGACGUUGGCCACAGAGUGCCACCCUAAAGAGGCCUCAGAAGAAUGAAGGGUAAGAAGCUCCUCCAUGAAAUCAGAUGGCACAAAAUUGGAGGAAAAAGAGCCCUUGGCAUGAGGCUGCCACCAGGAGAAUUCUGAAGAUGCAGGGCAUGAAUGGUCAAUGCCUUUGAUUAUUGGGGCAUAGGUGGAUGUCUCACCAGAGCCACCUAGAGAUAACAUCUCUGCAAAAGGCUUCAAAAUGGAGCAGGUAACCUGCCUUGAGGAUAAAAUCUGCCAAGAGAUGCCCCUUCCUCCUCUCUUUGAUAUGCAGCCUCAGCCAAGUUUUCAUCUAAUAAAUAUUUACUGCUGGAAACUAAGAGACACAAGCAUCUGUAAGCCACGGGCUCUACCCUUCACCUCAAGUGCCUAUUUUAUCAGUGAAUGAAACCGAAGCCCAGAGAGGGUAAGUGACUUCUCUAAAUCAGACAGCAGUAAAUUUCAGAGCCCUAAUGAAUAAAUUCUCUACAUUCAUAAUGCUUCUACUUUACAUAAUAUUAAUAUGUAAUUUCUUAAAGUAAAAAGUAUGCCCUAAUAUUAAAAUUAAAGUAGCUGUAUGGUUAAGAAUAUUCACUUUGAGCUGGGCGCAGUGGCUCACGCCUGUAAUCCCAACACUUUGGGAGGCCAGGGCAGGUGGAUCACGAAGUCAAGAGAUCAAGACCGCGGUGAAACCCCGUCUCUAUUAAAAAUACAAAAAAAUUAGCCGGGCGUGGUGGCGGGCACCUGUAGUCCUAGCUACUCAGGAGGCUGAGGCAGGACAAUGGCGUGAACACUGGAGGCGGAGCUUGCAGUGAGCCGAGAUCUCUCCACUGCACUCCAGCCUGGGUGACAGAGCAAGACUCCAUCUCAAAAAAAAAAGAAUAUUGACUUUGUCCGUUAAAUACUGACAAAUUUAGGAAGUAACGAAAAGCUAUUUUUGGUACUCUAUCACAGCUUAGAUAACUUUUCCUUUCCACUCUUAGCAUCAACGUCUUCAUAGUUUUUUUUCCUAACCCCCUCUUAAAAUCUCUUUUCAAGAACUAUAUUACAUAUGACUCCCAGUAAUGUAUAAAAUAAUAGUUUAAAAUGUCAUCCCUCCCAGGAAAACAUUUCACCCAUUCUACAUAUAUUUACCUCCAUGCCCUAUAAUAAACUUACCAAAGCAUUUUAGGCAGCCUUUGGGAGGUGGCAGAGGUGGCUUCUGAUAGGAUGAGACUGUCUCACCAUUGACCCCAUGACAUCUUCCCAAUUUACCUACAUCACCACCCUGAAGUCUGCUCUUGGAUUUCACACUGCACUUGGUUUUAUUAUCUCCAAGGAGGCGUCUUUUCCAAAAGCUCUUAGAGUAAUAUGAUACCACCUGAGCAUGGUCAGUAUAGAUAAACUAUUCAUUUAGGACUUUCAUAUGUUCCCAGUUUCCUAGGAAGUUUCCUCAAUGCUCACGCCCUCACAUCCUGACCACUGUCCCUGGGAUAAGUCACUUGGAGGCAGCUGUUCUCGGGAUCCCCAAAAGCCUGAAGCAGAACAUGUUCUGAGGCAAAAUCCUCUAUAAUUAUAUUUUAAAACAGUAGUUUUAUCCCAGUUCCUUGGGAGACCAAGGCAAGUGGAUCACCUGAAGUCAGGAGUUCAAGACCAGCUUGGCCAACAUGGUGAAACCCAGUCUCUAUUAAAGAUACAAAAAUUUAACCAGGCAUGGUGGCAGACACCUAUAAUCCCAGGUACUUGGGAGGCUGGGGCAGGAGAAUAGAUUGAAUCCAGAAGGGGAGGUUAUAGUGAGAUGAGAUAACACCACUAUACUCCAGCCUGGGCAACAGAGUGAGACUCUGUCUAAAAAAAAAUAAAAAUAAUACAACAGUAGUUAUAAGAUGUUCUUCAUACAUUCACACAACAAAUAUUUAUUGAACUUUACUAUAUAGUAUUCCUACUACUGUGAAAAUAUCAGUAAAAGAAGACAUUGCCUCUGCCCUUGGACAGGUCAUAGUCCAGGAAGUGAGACCUGCAAACAAAUAUAAUAAAAUAUGCUACAAAAAGCUGUAAAACAAUCAAAGAUAAUACACAAUGGGAAGAUAGAUAAAGAAGUAAAAUUCUUCUGCCAGGAGGAAGGGAAAGCAGAGUUCAGGGAAUACUUCAGAGAGUUGAUGCCAACUCUCUGAUGUUGGGCCUUGUGAGAUAUUAACAACCUCCUCCUCCUCCUCCUCCUCCUCCUCCUCCUCUUCUUUUUAAUUGACUUUUAUUUUUUAUAGAGGUUUUAUGUCAACAGGAAAAGUAAGUGGGAAACUUCCCACAUACCGUCUAUCCCCACACAGGCACAGCCUCCCCAACUGUCAACAUCCCAUACUAGAGUGGUACAUUUGUUACAAUUGAUGAACGUACAAUUACACAUCACUAUUACCCAAAGUCCAUAGUUUACAUUAACAGUCACUCUUUUUUUUUUUUUGAGACGGAGUCUUGCUCUGUCACCCAGGCUGGAGUGCAGUGGCCGGAUCUCAGCUCACUGCAAGCUCCUCCUCUCGGGUUCACGCCAUUCUCCUGCCUCAGCCUCCCGAGUAGCUGGGACUACAGGCACCCGCCACUUCGCCCGGCUAGUUUUUUGUAUUUUUUAGUAGAGACGGGGUUUCACCGUGUUAACCAGGAUGGUCUCGAUCUCCCGACCUCGUGAUCCGCCCGUCUCGGCCUCCCAAAGUGCUGGGAUUACAGGCUUGAGCCACCGCGCCCGGCCUAACAGUCACUCUUGAUGUUGCACAUUCUGUGGGUUUUGACAAAUGUAUAAUGACACAUAUCCACCAUUGUACUAUCAUAUAGAAUAGUUCACUGCCCUAAAAAUCCUCUGUGCUCUUUUUUCAUCCCUCCCUCCUCACUAGCCCCUGACAACCAUUGCCGUUUUUACUGCCUUCAUAGUUUUGCCCAUUUUCGAAUGUCAUACACUUAGAAUCAUACAGCCUUUUCAGAUUGUGUUCUUUCACUUAAUAAUACACAUUUAGGUUUCCUCCUUUUUUGUGUUUUGCCAGUUUAUUUCUUUUCAAUGGCAUAUGAUGUUCCAUUUUUGGAUAUACAAAAAAAGUUUACCUACUGAAAGACAUUUCUGUUGCUUCUAAUUUGGACAAUUAUGAAUAAAGCUGCUAUACAAACUUUCUUUUUAAAAAAGUUUUUAUGGAAACAUAAUUUGUUUACUAUAUAAUUCACUCACCGAAAGUAUACCACUCAACAGCUUUGAGCAUAUUCACAGUGUUGUGCAUGCAUCACCACAAUCAAUUUUAGAACAUUUUCAUCACCCCAGAAAUAAACUGCUUCACUUAGCCUUCACCCUUCAAUAUUUGCAUUCCUCCCUAUGUUACCAGUAAUCUACUCUCUGUCUCUAUCUAUUUUUCAUUUCUAGACAUUUCAUCUAAAUGGAAUCAUACAAUAUGUGGAUUUUU